UAGAGUUCUUGCCCCGCCAACAU
rnacentral:piRNA from 1 species